rnacentral:rRNA from 1 species
UAACGUAGGGGGCAAGCGUUGGUCCGGAAUCAUUGGGUCGGUAAAGCGCGUGUAGGCGGCCCGGUAAGUCCGCUGUGAAAGUCGGGGGCUCAACCCUCGAAUGCCGGUGGAUACUGUCGGGCUAGAGUGCGGGAGAGGCGAGUGGAAUUCCUGGUGUAGCGGUGAAAUGCGUAGAUAUCUGGAGGAACACCGGUGGCGAAGGCGGCAUCCUGGACCGAUACUGACGCUGAGGAGCGAAAGCUAGGGGAGCAAACGGG